rnacentral:lncRNA from 1 species
GUUUAAUUAAGAGAAGCGUGGUAGGAAGGACAUCUGAAGGAAGGUUGGGUUGCACUUGCGCUGCCCUACCUGAAAUCCCAGACUGGUUGCAGCCUGAGCACUGUGCUUCUGCACUGCUGGGAAGGGACGGGUAGACAACGCAGCCACAGCACCUUGGAAAUGAGGUUUCAAGAAGCCAGGCGCACACACACGAGUGAGCAGCUGCAACAGAGCCUGCACAGACUCCAGCCGCCCUGCACCAGCAUCCUGCCUCGAUUCUCCUUCACGAUUAGCAGGGAAGCAUCUUGCUUUAGAGUCUUGCAAAGAGCUUUUCAUCCCAACGGCAACCCACGACUUCCAACAAGUUGGUCAGCCCGGUUCUGUGUGUUUUGUUUCAUAGACGAAGAAUGCGCUGUUUGGAAAGAGGCGGUUUGCUCAGAAAUCCCCAUCUAGAAAGUCAUUUGUUUUCAUCAGAGCUGCUCGAGUGAAACUCAUGGAAAAUUCCCAGGCAGCAGCAGGGCUGGCUCCUGCCUGC